AUGGGUGAGGACGAAGACCUUGCAGCUGUUGAAUGGGACCCUUUGAACCCUCAUAUGGAAGAAGGUACAGUUUUUGCAUCCAUGAAUGAGUGUAGAAAUGCACUUGUGACAUACUGCAUCAAGGUAGAACAUACUUUCAAAGUUGACAAGAGCGAUCAAGUACGUUAUAGAGUGCACUGUCCGACUGAGGGUUGUCCAUGGAGGUUGCUUGCAUCUAAAAUGCGGAAUAGCACUAAUGUUCAGGUCAAAGUGAACCCUUUUAAGCACACAUGCCAGGAAUCAACCCUUAGGAAGGAUACAAUCAGUAGAGCCAAGUCAAGAUGGGUGGCAAAAGAAGUAAAGAAGUGGGUGAAAGAAAACCAACAAGUGGGUCCAAAGGAAUUGCAGAAGAACAUCAAAGAUAAGUUCAAGAUAGAUUUACCAUACAUGAGGUUGUUCAAUGUAGAUCCAGUGUUCGGAGAGAGUUUCGAUGAAGGCUUCGAUGAAAAUGUUGGUCAGCAGCCGAUUGCCUCAACAGAUGAUGAAAAUGAUGGUCAACAGCCAGUUGCAUCAGAUGAGGAUUUUGACAAGGUUCCAAAUGAUGAUGGUCAACAGCCGCAUGAUUUUGAUGAUGAUCCAAAAUAUCCUCCAAAUAAUGAUUCAAGUCAGGCUCCAAAUGGUGAUCCAAGUGAGGCUCUAAAUGGUGAUCAUGGUGAUCCAAGUGAGGCUCCAAAUGAUGAUCCAAGUGAGGCUCCAAAUGGUGACCAACCUUCUGUUGUUAUGAGUUGUACUAGAUAUGUAAAUCUUGUUUGA
rnacentral:rRNA from 1 species